rnacentral:rRNA from 1 species
UCACAUGCAAGUCGAACGGUCUCUUCGGAGAUAGCGGCGGACGGGUGAGUAACGCGUGAGAAUCUGGCUCUAGGUCUGGGACAACCACUGGAAACGGUGGCUAAUACCGGGUGUGCCGAAAGGUGAAAGGUUAACUGCCUGGAGAUGAGCUCGCGCCUGAUUAGCUAGUUGGUAGGGUAAAAGCUUACCAAGGCGACGAUCAGUAGCUGGUCUGAGAGGACGAUCAGCCACACUGGGACUGAGACACGGCCCAGACUCCUACGCAGGCAGCAGUGGGGAAUUUUCCGCAAUGGGCGAAAGCCUGACGGAGCAAUACCGCGUGAGGGAGUAAGGCUCUUGGGUUGUAAACCUCUUUUCUCAGGGAAGAAAAAUGACGGUACUUGAGGAAUAAGCAUCGGCUAACUCCGUGCCAGCAGCCGCGGUAAUACGGAGGAUGCAAGCGUUAUCCGGAAUGAUUGGGCGUAAAGCGUUCGCAGGUGGCAUUGAAAGUCUGCUGUUAAAGAGUUUGGCUUAACCAAAUAUAGGCAGUGGAAACUUCAAAGCUAGACUGCGGUAGGGGCAGAGGGAAUUCCUGGUGUAGCGGUGAAAUGCGUAGAGUUCAGGAAGAACACCGGUGGCGAAAGCGCUCUGCUAGGCCGUAACUGACACUGAGGGACGAAAGCUAGGGGAGCGAAUGGGAUUAGAUACCCCAGUAGUCCUAGCCGUAAACGAUGGAUACUAGGCGUUGCUUGUAUCGACCCGAGCAGUGCCGUAGCUAACGCGCUAAGUAUCCCGCCUGGGGAGUACGCACGCAAGUGUGAAACUCAAAGGAAUUGACGGGGGCCCGCACAAGCGGUGGAGUAUGUGGUUUAAUUCGAUGCAACGCGAAGAACCUUACCAAGGCUUGACAUGUCCGGAAUCUCUGUGAAAGUAGAGAGUGCCUUCGGGAGCCGGAACACAGGUGGUGCAUGGCUGUCGUCAGCUCGUGUCGUGAGAUGUUGGGUUAAGUCCCGCAACGAGCGCAACCCCCGUUUUUAGUUGCCAGCAUUAAGUUGGGCACUCUAGAGAGACUGCCGGUGACAAACCGGAGGAAGGUGGGGAUGACGUCAAGUCAGCAUGCCCCUUACGUCUUGGGCUACACACGUACUACAAUGCGAUGGACAAAGGGCAGCAAGCUAGCAAUAGCAAGCAAAUCUCGGAAACCAUCGCUCAGUUCAGAUCGAAGGCUGCAACUCGCCUUCGUGAAGUCGGAAUCGCUAGUAAUUGCAGGUCAGCAUACUGCAGUGAAUUCGUUCCCGGGCCUUGUACACACCGCCCGUCACACCAUGGUAGCUGGUAGUGCCCGAAGUCAUUACCCUAACUGUUCGCAGAGGGGGAUGCCCACGGCAGGACUGGUGACUGGGGUGAAG